rnacentral:misc_RNA from 1 species
GAUGAAGAACGUAGCGAAAUGCGAUAAGUAGUGUGAAUUGCAGAAUUCAGUGAAUCAUCGAAUCUUUGAACGCACAUUGCGCCCAUUAGAAUUCUAGUGGGCAUGCCUGUUCGAGCGUCAUUUCAACCCUUAAGCCUAGCUUAGUGUUGGGAAUCUGCUGUAUUGCAGUUCCUCAAAUACAACGGCGGAUCUGUAACAUCCUCUGAGCGUAGUAAAUUUUUAUCUCGCUUUUGUUAGGUGUUGCAGCUCUCAGCCGCUAAACCCCCCAAUUUUUGUGGUUGACCUCGGAUCAGGUAGGAAUACCCGCUGAACUUAAGCAUAUCAAUAAGCGGAGGA